AUUGAACGCUGGCGGCAAGCCUAACACAUGCAAGUCGAACGAGUGGCGGACGGGUGAGUAAUGUCUGGGAAACUGCCUGAUGGAGGGGGAUAACUACUGGAAACGGUAGCUAAUACCGCAUACCAUCGGAUGUGCCCAGAUGGGAUUAGCUAGUAGGUGGGGUAAAGGCUCACCUAGGCGACCAUCCCUAGCUGGUCUGAGAGGAUGACCAGCCACUCGGGAACUGAGAUAAGGUCCAGACUCCUCCGGAGUGAAGCAGUGGGGAAUAUUGCACAAUGGGCGCAAUCCUUAUGCAGCCAGGCCGCGUGUAUGAAGAAGGCUUUCGGGUUGUAAAGUACUUUCAGCGGGGAGGCGUUACCCGCAGAAGAAGCACCGGCUAACUCCGUGCCAGCAGCCGCGGUAAUUC
rnacentral:rRNA from 1 species